AGAGUUUGAUCCUGGCUCAGGAUGAACGCUGGCGGCGUGCCUAACACAUGCAAGUCGAACGAAGCACCCGCGCGGAUUCCCUCGGGAUGAAGCGCGGAUGACUGAGUGGCGGACGGGUGAGUCACGCGUGGGCAACCUGCCCCGUGCCGGGGGACAACAGCCGGAAACGGCUGCUAAUACCGCAUGAUCCGGGAGGGCCGCAUGGCCCUGCCGGGAAAGCUCCGGCGGCACGGGAUGGGCCCGCGUCUGAUUAGUUUGUUGGCGGGGUAACGGCCCACCAAGACUGCGAUCAGCAGCCGGCCUGAGAGGGCGGCCGGCCACAUUGGGACUGAGACACGGCCCAGACUCCUGCGGGAGGCAGCAGUGGGGAAUAUUGCACAAUGGGGGAAACCCUGAUGCAGCGACGCCGCGUGGGCGACGAAGCGCUCCGGCGCGUAAAGCCCUGUCAGCAGGGAAGAACAAAGACAGUACCUGACCAAGAAGCCCCGGCUAACUACGUGCCAGCAGCCGCGGUAAUACGUAGGGGGCAAGCGUUAUCCGGAUUCACUGGGCGUAAAGGGAGCGCAGGCGGCACGGCAAGUCUGGUGUGAAAGCCCGGGGCCCAACCCCGGGACUGCAUUGGAAACUGCCGGGCUGGAGUGCCGGAGGGGUAAGCGGAAUUCCUGGUGUAGCGGCGAAAUGCGCAGAUAUCAGGAAGAACACCGGUGGCGUAGGCGGCUUACUGGACGGCAACUGACGCUGAGGCUCGAAAGCGUGGGGAGCAAACAGGAUUAGACACCCUGGUAGUCCACGCCGUAAACGAUAAAUACUAGGUACCGGGGCACAAAAGUGCUUCUGUGCCGCAGCUAAC
rnacentral:rRNA from 1 species